AUUGAACGCUGGCGGCAGGCCUAACACAUGCAAGUCGAGUGGCAGCACUUCGGGUGGCGAGCGGCGGACGGGUGAGUAAUGCUUGGGAACGUGCCGUUAGGUGGGGGACAACAGUUGGAAACGACUGCUAAUACCGCAUAAUCUCUUCGGAGCAAAGAUGGGGCUCGCAAGACCUAUCGCCUAACGAUCGGCCCAAGUGGGAUUAGCUAGUUGGUGAGGUAACGGCUCACCAAGGCGACGAUCCCUAGCUGGUCUGAGAGGAUGAUCAGCCACACUGGAACUGAGACACGGUCCAGACUCCUACGGGAGGCAGCAGUGGGGAAUAUUGGACAAUGGGCGCAAGCCUGAUCCAGCCAUGCCGCGUGUGUGAAGAAGGCCUCGGUG
rnacentral:rRNA from 1 species